rnacentral:sRNA from 1 species
GCCAGGUGCAGUAGCGCACGCCUGUAAUCCCAGUGGCUCUGGAGGCUGAGGCAGGAGGAUCAUAAGUUCAAAGCCAGCCUCAGCAAUUUAGCAAGGCCCUAAGCAACUCAGUGAGACCCUGUGUCUA